AACACAUGGUGAGGGCACCUUAUCAAUAAAUCCUUAUACCUCUCCCAUGCAUCAUAUAAGGUUUCUAAGUCGAUUUGAAUGAAGGAAAAGAUAUCAUUCCUCAACUU
rnacentral:snoRNA from 1 species